rnacentral:misc_RNA from 1 species
GAUGAAGAACGUAGCGAAAUGCGAUAAGUAAUGCGAAUUGCAGAAUUCAGUGAAUCAUCGAAUCUUUGAACGCACAUUGCGCCCGCCAGUAUUCUGGCGGGCAUGCCUGUUCGAGCGUCAUUACAACCCUCAGGCCCCCGGGCCUGGCGUUGGGGAUCGGCGGAGCCCCCCGUGGGCACACGCCGUCCCCCAAAUACAGUGGCGGUCCCGCCGCAGCUUCCAUCGCGUAGUAGCUAACACCUCGCGACUGGAGAGCGGCGCGGCCACGCCGUAAAACACCCAACUCUUCUGAAGUUGACCUCGAAUCAGGUAGGAAUACCCGCUGAACUUAAGCAUAUCAAUAAGCGGAGGA